rnacentral:rRNA from 1 species
UACGUAGGGGGCAAGCGUUGUCCGGAUUUACUGGGCGUAAAGAGCGUGUAGGCGGCCACGCAGGUCCGUUGUGAAAACUCGAGGCUCAACCUCGAGAUGUCGAUGGAAACCGUCUGGCUAGAGUCCGGAAGAGGAGUGUGGAAUUCCUGGUGUAGCGGUGAAAUGCGCAGAUAUCAGGAAGAACACCUAUGGCGAAGGCAGCACUCUGGGACGGUACUGACGCUGAGACGCGAAAGCGUGGGGAGCGAACAGG